CAACUUAACUUUUUAUCUCCUAAGUAAAAACAGAGUAAAGCUACAGUGAGAGUCAUAGGAUGGGUCGUGUAUGGAAGUCUACAAAAACAGCCCCUAAGGGAAGGCUCUUGCAAAUGUCCAGGAGAUUAUGUCCAUAUGUCUUUCUGGAACCUUUGCCAAGAUAGUCACAGGAUCAAAAUUACUUCUUCAUGCCCAUUAUGCAGUGUCACAUCUUACAGAGCCAAAGGAAUAAAUUCCAGACAUGCAGAACACACAUCACUCCGGCCUCUCUCAGGCAGGCUGUCAAGUCCAUGGAACUAAUGCACAAAUCAUAAAAGGGCAGCCAGAGCCUUAAGACUCUUUGCUAACCUGUUCCUUACUGGUUGCUUUCCUAAAGCAGUGGAGUGGGGAACCUGCCACCAGGCUGUUUUCCUCCACACUGCAUUGCCCCAUGCAGGUACUCCAGAUGAGAAACACACAGGGCAAGGGAGGGAGCAGAAAUGGAGGGAAGAGAUUGUGUCAGGCAGAGAAGGAGAAAAAGUGCUAGAUUUGAGAGCUCUCUAGUAAAGGACUGACCCCCAGAUGGUGACUGGUGCAGCUUGUCCUUUCACUGGGCAGAAAAGCACACUUGAGAUGCCCCUCCUCCUUUCCCUGGAUGGCCUUCUCUUUCUCUUCCUCCCUCUGGUCUGUUCUCCACAGCUGAAUGCUUCUGAAUGUUUUCACUCUCAGAAACAGUAUGAUUCCUGUCAAACCACAGCAUAAACUUUUCAGAAAAGCUCUUGAGCUUUCAUUUCUGUAGCCAAGAUCAGCAAUCUGUCAUGUACAGUGGCAUUUCCAGCUGACUGCUAGAAAUCUCCUCCGGGAUGUCCUGCCAGCACCCUGAAAUCAACACGUCCACCAUGUCAGCAGCUUCCCUCCUGCACUUGCACUGCCACACCUAGCAACAGUGACUGAGAAGAAUGGCAUUUAUCUGCUGUCCUGAAUAAAACUGGGAUUCUAUUACAAUGGUAAAAGAGACAUGCUUCUGGAAUCCUCUGUUUCCUGUUGUUCUGACCUUGGCUGGUGGCUCCCUGGUCCUGAUACACAACUGCCUUCCUGAACAUCCCAUCAUCACUAUCCUGGGAAUUCCCUCCACUUCUUGAAUGUGUUGGGUCUCCUAUUUCCUUCCCCACACUGUCUUCCUGCUUGGUUUAUUUCCUUGUUUUGUUAAAGCAUAUUCUCUAGUAGCUUCUUGAGAAGGGACACAUUGGCAGUAAAAUAUUUUUGAGAUGUAUAUCUGACAGCAUCUUUGUCCUAACCUCAUACUUAACUGAUAAUUUGGAUAGGCUUAACAUUCAAAGUUGGAAAUAAUUUCCCCCAAAUUUUUUUGUUUUGUUCCCUAGACUCUUUAAGGCAUUGCUCCAUUCUAGUUUUCCAUGUUGCUAUGAAGAGUGCUAUGCCAUUCUGUUUCUCAGUCCUUUUAUGUCUUUAUACCUGUUUUUGAAUUUUUUCUCCUUGGAUACGUUUUGGAUCUUCUCUUUCUUCCUAUUAUUCUGAAAUUUCAUAACAAUGUCUUUUUGUGCAGGUCUUUUAUUUAUCUCUUCAAAUGGACAUUCUAUGACUGUCUCAGUUUGAAG